UGAGAUCUGACAAGGUUGCAAGUGCUGUGGGCCCAGCAAUAUGAAUAAAUGCUGGUUUUAUUCUGGUAUAUUUUGGAUGUAUACGUGAAUCUGUGAAUCAGGAAAUUUCAAGUUGGAGAAUGGAAAGCAUGGCUGGGAUCAUGAGUGGGAGCAGUAGCUGCAAGUGAACUCAACUUUGGAAAUCUCCCUUCGUGGGAAUUCACCCAGUCCAGGACUGGCUCAGAAGCAAACUGCGGGACACAUCUCAGGUGAUUAAAAAUGCCAAACAGAGAAGCAUGGUGCCUGUGCGAUUUUCUCAGCAAGGAUUUGUUACCAACUCCUUGAGCACGUUUAGCUAGAGGGGAUUCUGCUGACAUUUUUCUUUUCACUGUUUUCAUGAGUUUUGAAUAUUGAAACAGAUUUUGCUGGGGAUAAUGGAAAGCAGACUUGGGAAACACUUUUUUUAAAAGAAAAUCUAGAUCCAAUCUAGCUUUUGAUGUAGGGCUAACAAUAUGAAUAUGAUGAAGCAAGCAAGUGGGAUUAUACAAGUUAGUUUUGUUGACAGUAUCUAAAAACAUUUUCACUUCAAACCAUUUUCCUUGAAUAUAAUACUUGCCUUAAAAAGUCUAGCCUCUGCCAAAUAUUUCCCAAUAAAAAGUUGGCCCAUUAUUCACAUUAUGGUUGCAUUUUGAUUUUCUGGUCAUUGGAAGAAUGUUCC
rnacentral:lncRNA from 1 species